rnacentral:rRNA from 1 species
UGGCUCAGAUUGAACGCUGGCGGCAGGCCUAACACAUGCAAGUCGAGCGGAAACGAGUUAACUGACCUUCGGGUGACGUUAACGGCGUCGAGCGGCGGACGGGUGAGUAAUGCCUGGGAAAUUGCCCUGAUGUGGGGGAUAACCAUUGGAAACGAUGGCUAAUACCGCAUAAUGCCUUNGGGNCAAAGAGGGGGACCUUCGGGCCUUCUUCGGCGUCAGGAUAUGCCCAGGUGGGAUUAGCUAGUUGGUGAGGUAAUGGCUCACCAAGGCGACGAUCCCUAGCUGGUCUGAGAGGAUGAUCAGCCACACUGGAACUGAGACACGGUCCAGACUCCUACGGGAGGCAGCAGUGGGGAAUAUUGCACAAUGGGCGCAAGCCUGAUGCAGCCAUGCCGCGUGUGUGAAGAAGGCCUUCGGGUUGUAAAGCACUUUCAGCAGUGAGGAAGGCGGGUACGUUAAUAGCGUGUUCGUUUGACGUUAGCUGCAGAAGAAGCACCGGCUAACUCCGUGC